AUGCCUCGCAAGGCCUCGUCCUCCUCAGAUGCGAAGCUCAAGUGGCGGAAGCGGAAGCGCUCACAGGACACCUCCCCAUCGAAGCAGUCCGGCGGGGCCGACCACUCCGACGACUCCGACUCCGCAGCGGCGAACGACGAAGACGACGCGCUCCACGGCUCCGCCAACGGGGGCGAAACCCUAGGCGCCCGUGGCGGUGAUGACGACACCGUGCCCGACCUCCGGGAGGCGGAGGUGCUCUCCUCAGCGGAGCCCGUCUCUGGCUUCCCCUCGGCUACCCGCCGCACUAUCAGCCGGGUCCAUCCCUCUGUGCUCGCAGUUAUAGCCGCCGAUCGUGCCUUGGCGGCUGGUGCCAGCUGUGCUUCGGCUCCACCUGCUCCCGCGCUGGAGAACAUUUCGCAUGGGCAGCUUCAGGUGCUCGCAGCCAUGCUCCCCGACCACCCAUCCCUGUCCAACGACCCCGACAAGCCGUCCUCCUAUGUCUGCACCGUGCCUCCACUCAUGGAAUGCCAAGGCGUGCCCAAGCAGUUCUACAGCAAGUUACUCGUCGUCCCCAGACACGCAGAUUGGUUCUCCCCGGCGACUGUACACAGGUUGGAGAGGCAGGUGGUGCCACAUUUCUUCUCAGGGAAGUCCCCAGGGCAUACACCAGAGAAGUACAUAAUGCUGAGGAAUAAGGUGAUUGUGAAGUAUUUGGAGCGCCCGUCGAGGAGACUUGCAUUUGCUGAGUGCCAGGGGCUUGUUACAAGCACGGCUGAAUUGUAUGACCUGAGUCGGAUAGUCAGGUUCUUGGACACUUGGGGGAUUAUUAAUUACCUCGCGGCUGGAUCUGUGCACCGGGGCUUGAGGCUGGCAUCAUCUUUAAUCAGGGAGGAGCAAACAGGGGAGCUGCAGCUGGCGUCUGCACCAUUGAAGUCAAUUGACGGUCUGAUUUUGUUUGAUCGGCCAAAAUGCAGUGCCCGAGCAGAGGAUAUUGCUUCCGUGGCAUCAACUUCGUCUGCUCUGGAGGUGCCAAAUGGUGAUACUGGCUUUGCAGACUUGGACGAAAAGAUUUGGGAGAGGCUGUCUGAGAACUUUUGUAGUUAUUGUUCACAACCUUUGCCCAGUUUGCACUAUGAAUCACAAAAGGAGGCAGACAUUGCUCUUUGCUCGGAUUGCUUCCAUGAUGCAAGAUUUGUUCCUGGGCACUCAAGCUUAGAUUUUCAGAGAGUGGAUGGAACGAAAGAUGGAUCAGACAAUGAUGGGGACAGCUGGACUCAUGAGGAAACUUUACUGUUGCUGGAGGGCUUGGAGAAGUACAAUGAUAAUUGGAAUGCUAUUGCUGAACAUGUCGGAACAAAGUCUAAGGCGCAGUGUAUUCACCAUUUUAUUCGUAUUCCAGUGGAAGAUGGUCUGUUAGAGAGCAUUGAAGUACCAGAAGCAUCCGUUUCAUCUAGAGUACAAAGCAAUGGAUUUUCGUAUUCAAAUUCCAAUGGCGGCAUUUCAGGUAGCGUUCCUCAAAGUAGCCAACCUGGACAACAGCUUCCAUUUGUUAAUUCUGCUAAUCCAGUCAUGUCACUGGUUGCAUUUUUGGCCUCUGCAGUAGGACCAAGAAUAGCAGCAUCCUGUGCAAAUGCAGCAUUAUCUGUUUUGACAAGAGAUGAUUCCAGGAUGUGUUCAGAAGGCAAUGAUGUCAUGGGUCAAGCUGCUCGUCCAAACUAUGAUGCCUCAUCAUCUGUCUCUCCCGAAAACGUCAAAUACGCUGCAAUGUGUGGCUUGUCAGCAGCGGCAACAAAGUGCAAACUUUUUGCAGAUCAGGAGGAGCGUGAAAUUCAGAGAUUAGCGGCCACCAUCAUAAAUCACCAGUUAAAGAGAUUGGAGUUGAAGCUGAAGCAAUUUGCAGAGGUGGAGACCUUGCUUUUGAAGGAAAGCGAGCAGGUUGAGAGGGCCAGGCAGAAUCUUACAGCCCAGCGUGUCCGGUUUAUGUCAGCUCGAUUUGCUUCCUCCGGAGGUCCCAUGCCUGGAGGCAGCAGCAGCACCAUGGCAUCAAAUCCAAUGAAUCAAGCCAGCCCUCGACCACCAGCAAUGCCAGGAUCAAUGCCUCCGGCCAGCAUGCAAGCGUUUUACGGCAAUAACAUGCAGGGGCAUCCAGCCCAGAUGGCUUUCUUGCAGCAGCAACAGCGGCAACAACAGCAGCAGCAGCAGCAGCAGCAGAUGCUCUCAUUUGGGCCGCGCCUGCCGCUCUCAGCUAUCCACCCCGGCUCAUCGUCAUCGGCAGCACCCAGCAUCAUGUUCAACACUGGCAUGCCCAGUUCGGCUACCCCUAACCAUCACUCCAUGCUGAGACCACCACCCUCGGGGAGCAACAAUUCAAGUUUUGGUUAA
rnacentral:rRNA from 1 species